rnacentral:rRNA from 1 species
UACGUAGGGGGCUAACGUUGUCCGGAAUCAUUGGGCGUAAAGAGCGUGUAGGCGCCAGGUAGGUCCGUUGUGAAAACUCGAGGCUCAACCUCGAGACGUCGGCGGAAACCCUCUGGCUAGAGUCCGGAAGAGGAGAGUGGAACUCCUGGUGUAGCGGUGGAAUGCGCAGAUAUCAGGAAGAACACCAACGGCGAAGGCAGCUCGCUGGGACGGUACUGACGCUGAGACGCGAAAGCGUGGGGAGCGAACAGG